UACAGAGGUCUCGAGCGUUAGGCGGAAUCACUGGGCUUAAAGCGUGUGUAGGUGGAUCGUUAAGUACCUUGUGAAAUCCCACGGCUCAACCGUGGAACGGCUGGGUAUACUGCCUGUCUUGAGCCAACUAGGGGCGAGCGGAACAGACGGUGGAGCGGUGAAAUGCGUAGAUAUCGGGAGGAACACCAAUGGCGAAGGCAGCUCGCUGGGACGGUACUGACGCUGAGACGCGAAAGCGUGGGGAGCAAACAGG
rnacentral:rRNA from 1 species